AUUGAACGCUGGCGGCAGGCUUAACACAUGCAAGUCGAGCGGAGUGAUGGUGCUUGCAUUAUCACUUAGCGGCGGACGGGUGAGUAAUGCUUAGGAAUCUGCCUAUUAGUGGGGGACAACAUCUCGAAAGGGAUGCUAAUACCGCAUACGUCCUACGGGAGAAAGCAGGGGAUCACUUGUGACCUUGCGCUAAUAGAUGAGCCUAAGUCGGAUUAGCUAGUUGGUGGGGUAAAGGCCUACCAAGGCGACGAUCUGUAGCGGGUCUGAGAGGAUGAUCCGCCACACUGGGACUGAGACACGGCCCAGACUCCUACGGGAGGCAGCAGUGGGGAAUAUUGGACAAUGGGGGGAACCCUGAUCCAGCCAUGCCGCGUGUGUGAAGAAGGCCUUAUGGUUGUAAAGCACUUUAAGCGAGGAGGAGGCUCUUUUGGUUAAUACCCAAGAUGAGUGGACGUUACUCGCAGAAUAAGCACCGGCUAACUCUGUGCCAGCAGCAGCCGCCG
rnacentral:rRNA from 1 species